rnacentral:rRNA from 1 species
GACGAACGCUGGCGGCGUGCUUAACACAUGCAAGUCGAACGAGAUCCCAUGUGUAGCAAUACACAGGAAGAUCUAGUGGCGAACGGGUGAGGAACACGUGAGAAACGUACCCCAGACUUUGGGAUAACAGUCCGAAAGGACUGCUAAUACCAAAUAACGUCGGAAGUCCGCAUGGACAUCUUACGAAAGGGAUUCCGGUUUGGGAGCGUCUCGCGGACCUAUCAGCUAGUUGGAGGGGUAACGGCCCACCAAGGCAACGACGGGUAGCUGGUCUGAGAGGAUGGUCAGCCACACUGGGACUGAGACACGGCCCAGACUCCUACGGGAGGCAGCAGUGGGGAAUCUUGCGCAAUGGGCGAAAGCCUGACGCAGCAACGCCGCGUGCGGGAAGAAGGCUUUCGGGCUGUAAACCGCUUUCAGUAGGAACGAAACUGACGGUACCUACAGAAGAAGGAGCGGCCAACUAUGUG